GACGAACGCUGGCGGCGUGCUUAACACAUGCAAGUCGAGCGGAAAGGCCCUUCGGGGUACUCGAGCGGCGAACGGGUGAGUAACACGUGAGUAAUCUGCCCUUCACUCUGGGAUAGCCACCGGAAACGGUGAUUAAUACCGGAUACGACCACCGUGGGCAUCCGCUGGUGGUGGAAACUUUUUUUGGGUGGGGGAUGUGCUCGCGGCCUAUCAGCUUGUUGGUGGGGUAAUGGCCUACCAAGGCUUCGACGGGUAGCCGGCCUGAGAGGGUGACCGGCCACACUGGGACUGAGACACGGCCCAGACUCCUACGGGAGGCAGCAGUGGGGAAUAUUGGACAAUGGGCGGAAGCCUGAUCCAGCAACGCCGCGUGAGGGAUGACGGCCUUCGGGUUGUAAACCUCUUUCAGCACCGACGAAGCGCAAGUGACGGUAGGUGCAGAAGAAGGACCGGCCAACUACGUGCCAGCAGCCGCGGUAAGAC
rnacentral:rRNA from 1 species